ACACAUGCAAGUCGAGGGGCAGCGCGGGAUAGCAAUAUCCUGGCGGCGACCGGCGGAAGGGUGCGUAACGCGUGAGCGACAUGCCCGUUGCCCGGGGACAACCGGUGGAAACGCCGACUAAUCCCCGAUGGGAUAUUGUGCCGCAUGGCACGAUAUUGAAAGUUACGGCGGCGACGGAUUGGCUCGCGUCCGAUUAGCUUGUUGGCGGGGUAACGGCCCACCAAGGCUACGAUCGGUAGGGGUUCUGAGAGGAAGGCCCCCCACAAUGGGACUGAGACACGGCCCAUACUCCUACGGGAGGCAGCAGUGAGGAAUAUUGGUCAAUGGGCGGAAGCCUGAACCAGCCAUGCCGCGUGCGGGAAGGAGGCCCUAUGGGCUGUGAACCGCUUUUGCCUGGGGGCAAUAAGGGCGUCGCGCACGCCCGAUGAGAGUACCAGGCGAAUAAGCAUCGGCUAACUCCGUGCCAGCAGCCGCGGUAAUACGGGGGAUGCGAGCGUUAUCCGGAUUCAUUGGGUUUAAAGGGUGCGUAGGCUGUGCGUCAAGUCGGGGGUGAAAUUCCGGUGCUCAACACCGGGGCUGCCCUUGAUACUGUCGCGCUGGAGUGCGGAUGCCGCCGGAGGAAUGAGUGGUGUAGCGGUGAAAUGCUUAGAUAUCACUCAGAACACCGAUUGCGAAGGCAUCUGGCGAAUCCGUAACUGACGCUGAGGCACGAAAGCGUGGGGAUAGAACAGGAUUAGAUACCCUGGUAUUCCACGCCGUAAACGAUGAUGGCUAACCGCCGGCGACACACUGUCGGUGGCCAAGCGAAAGCGAUAAGCCAUCCACCUGGGGAGUACGUCGGCAACGAUGGAACUCAAAGGAAUUGACGGGGGCCCGCACAAGCGGAGGAACAUGUGG
rnacentral:rRNA from 1 species